CGCACGCCUUUUUCUGGCUCCCGUUGUCUCGCGUUCCGUCGUUGCUCUGGUGCCCUGGACUGCUGUGAAUGUGUUUUUAUGCCCUACUAGUGUUGCCUGGGGGUGCUUUUAUGUGUGCACCCUGGAAGAUAGGUCCAGAAGCCUUGCGAUUUCUUAGAUUAAAGCUAAGUGUACUCGUGACCCUACCAGCACUUUUCAAGAUACUUUCGACGUAUUCAUUGCGGUGAACAACGCGCUUGGGACAGCACACUCACGACGUGGGAAGGUCACAGAAAUGUUGAAAGACAUCAGAUUGGGCAUACGCUUCACCCGUGCAACUUCGUCAUGUGCUCCACGGCAGCACAAGCCUUUACGGCUGUGCCACUGUAUGUAAAAAAUGCUGAGUGAUUUUAAUAAAGAAUUUGCAGGGAAGUACAAUGUGUCGCACCUUGUUGACUCUUUUACAGAUGUGUGGAAACGUCGUAGCGGAUGAAUGUGAAUUAUGGAUCUCCAAGUGGCGUCCCCCGCGUCAUUUUCAAGAUUGUACCCGUUUUGAAGGUACGUAGUGAAUGUGCGAGGCAUUCACGUUCCUACUACGUGGUUAUCCAUGCGUUUCCCGUCUUCGCAGGCAAUAGGGCUGUUGAUAGGGAGAAUGCUAGGCUACUGCAGACUGCAACCAUAGGCGCUGUGUCUAAAGGUUAAGCUCACAUGACGCGGCAGGGAAGGGAGUCCGUGGCGAAAAGUGAAUAUAGCCGAAGUUGGAUAGCGUUAAUUUUUGCGCACGAAAGGCAAGCUGGACACAUCGCAAACCUCCAGUUGUACGAAACACAGUGCAGCAUGGUCGUCGGUUAUGCCAGUGCUUCAACAUAUGUUUCA